rnacentral:sRNA from 1 species
CGUCGCUGCCGACUCCCAGGGGGAGCGGCAGACUGGGGCCCCACAACCCCGGACCGAAGAACAGAUAAGCGCUGGCCCACCACUACGGGCGCCAGCCCAACAAGAAAUUUCGGAUGUACGCAUGCUCCAGGAAGGAGCAUGAACCCCC